UUUCCUUUUACCACAGAAACAAUAUUUCAGCACUGGCUGUCAGAAAGCCCUGAGCGCUGAGGAUGUGCAGCGCGCUCCAUGGAUGCUGGGUUGGAUUUUCAGCCUACCUAAACUGUCCCGGGUGUUUCCUGGCAUGGGAGCUGUGUGUCCAGGUUGGCACCACCACGCUGCCCCAUGGCAGGCUGCUGCUUUGGCAACCCCUCUCUCUUGAUUUCUCUUUUUAUGCUCAAGUCAAAUGACAUGAAACAACCUAACCUGUGGCCUGUUGCUGUCACCAGCAGGUGUCCUGAUGGAUGAACCAUGCUUUAUCCCUGUCCUAGAACUGGGAAGUGCAGGAGGAGUUGUGUUUGUGCCCUGGAGGCACAUGGCCCUCUGCCUCUGACUGGGGUGCAGUGAAAAUUGCUGGUGCUGAGGAUGCUGGCCAGAAGCAGAGGUUAUUUUUCCUCCCCAGCACAUGCCAGUGGUACCUUUUCAGGAGUGGGUGCACUCCAAGUGGAUACCAACAAUCCUGUGAACAACCUGCCAGUGUCGGUGCUUUGGUGGGAUGAUGUUUUGUGAGGUUCUGCUUGCCCAGCACCUUUCGGUGUUGGAAGUCACAGCCACUACCUAAUGCUCUGAUUUUGUGCCUGAAUUUGGCUUGAAUAAGGCAUUUGCUUACUGAAGUAAACAAAACAAAGGAAAAAGAAGUCUUUUCUUCCCAAAGAUAGUUAUCUUUUCCCAAAAGUUAUCUUUUCUUCCCAAAAGAUAACAUUUUCAAGUGGGAGCUCUACCACAGCAGCCCAUCCUGGGGACCCACAGGAACUUAAAUUGGUCUGCCCAAUGCUAAAACAAGAUCAUGUGGCCAAGGCAAUCUUGGGAUGGCUGCUGAAUGAAGCAAGGUGUAAAGUAGGAUGGACCAGGGUGAUGGAUAAGUGCAGGAGCCAGGGGAGUCUCCCCACACAUUGUCCAGGUUUGGCCUUGUCCAGGCCAAAGACUGGAUUGGGAUCUUGCAGGGAGCUCCUGGUCCCAUGCUGCCCAUCCUGGCUGUUGCAGUGCUAUCAGUGGCUCCCAUAUGGUUAUCAGGCUGCACACUGCACUGCCUCUGUGGCUUCUGCUGAAACCCAUCCCAGACCUCUCUGCUCUGAAAAUCAGAAAUCUUUUCAUCUCCAGCCCCACAACUCUCAGUUUAGGGAUUUCACAAGAUUUUCUAAUGGCUUUUCUUCUUCCAUGUAUCUCUCAGUAGCAAUUAUACCCCCUUCAGCCCUGUUGUGAUAGCCUAAAUAAGACCAAAUUUAGGUAGCUUCCUCUCAUAAGAUAAUCCUCCUUUCUUUGACUGUUGUAGUCAUUUUACACACCAGUUUCAGUUCCUUGGAAAGACAAGGGAAAAGGUUUUCAGAGUUGUGGCUGGGAUUUCAGGCUUAAGAUCAAUGGGCCUUUUGUUUUGAAAUCCAAUUCAGUGGGCUUUUAUGAACAUAUCUGAUCAUUACUGUGAGCAUCUCAAAAAGUUUGGAGUCCCAGCUACGAAACAACGCCGCUGAUUCCAAGAACUUGUACAAAUAUUUAUAAUCAACAGGAGGCAAGCUAAGAGCCAUUCAAACAAGAGAUAAGAUUAGUAGCUGAAGUGGCUGGGCUGCAAUUGUUAUUGUGCAAGUCAAAGAAAAGGCUGUCACACAUGGAGGAUAUUGCCAAGCAAGUCAUUCUUCGCCGAGUCAUUCUUCUCUCAUCUUCUGUCUGAAUUCUCCUGCAGUUUUCCCAGACCUACUCAGGCUACUGGGUUAGGAGGUGAGUGAGUUUAGACUUUUUUCCAAGUUGUGUCAGAUAUUUCCCUUGGUCCCGCUCUUGUCCAGCACCCCUACCGUGGAAAAGGGGAAAAGGGAAGUUCAGAGAACUUCCUGUGCCGUGAUGGGAGUUGGAGCACUGAAGCAACUGAAGCCAGGUUGCUGUUGCCAUCUCUCAGAUGCAGAGCACUCAGGAGGCUUUUACAGCCACGGGGGGAUCUCUGAGGCUGGCUGAAGGCUCAGACCAGCCCCUGGACAGGAAGGUGUAACAGGAUGGUGAAAGCUCUCUGCUCUCCAUCUGGAUCCUCCUCGGAGUGUGCCUUUGGAGAGAGGAGUUCAGUGUGGCUCAUCCACUGCUGUGAGGCGUUGGUUACCCUGUGAACAAGCCCCAUCGUGUGCAGCAAACAAGAAACCGGCACACAACAUAUGAAAGUCAUUUAGGAAGAUGGAAAUGAUGAGCGGUGCACACAAUAGCGUUGCUAUUAGGAUCUGUCGAUCCUAAUUAAAAAAAUACUUCCCAAUGAAAAUUAUUUAUAAAAAGAAAUCACAGUGACCCUAAAUCAAAUUAUUUGUGAAUGGUUUUUAGUCUCCCAGAUCAGUUAAAACUCCUGUGUUAGUCACUGGACAUCAUCCAAGCUACAUGCUGAAUGAAUAACAUCCCUGCCAAAUUUCAUUUUUUUUCACCCUCACCAAGUUUGGCACAGGACAGUUAAAGUCAUUUUUCUAAAUAUCUUUCAGAACAUCAAGCGACUGUAAAAUAACAAUGGGAAAGCUUGGCCACAGCCAACUGCAGCCCUCCAGUUGGAACCGCUUCUCUCCAAGAAAGCAGCUCCACUUCCUUUGAUGAUCUGUUUUGGGGGAGCACUGAGGCAAGGAUUCCUCCAUGGGGGUACUGGAGGGUCACUGCCCCAGGGGCAACCCUGCCAAGGAGCCUGGCUUCCAGCUGUUCCAGCGUGGGGCACAGCUGGAUCCAGACUGGCCCUGGGUACAGGGUUUGUGUCUUUUUGGCCACCUGCUAGAGGGUGACAUCCCGAGGACAAACCAGCCAUUCCUUGUCCACAGUGGCAGUUUCCAUGGUGAGCUGUAACGACGCCUCUUCUGCUCACUCUUCAGAAACAAAAAACAAACAAAAAAGAAAGAAAGAAAUAAGGAAUCAAUGACUGCACAAUGGCAGAACAAGUUCUUGCUGCUUGUGUCUGCAAAGAUAAAGGGCUAAUUCUUCUAAGCACUCUGUGAUGUCCUAUCCAAGUGAAUUAAGUUUGGGAUUGUUUUCAUGAUGGCUUGUUCCAACUCCAGUGUGCUUUCUCUCCUUUGACUGGCCUGCAAGUCCCCCACUGCCCUUUUCUCAGCUGGCUUCCCCCUCAUUUGCUCUUUCUGACCAUGGAGGUGCCAUCACCUGCAGAAGGUUAGGAGCUUCCCCAGCUCUUGGUUCUCAGAGACCCUAAGAGGCAAGCAUGGUUCUCCAGCUCCCCACAUAAUCCAGGAAGUGCUGGCUGCUCUUCUGUUGAAAGCUAGCAAUAAAUGGCCACCAAAUUCCAAUCUUGCUGGUUUCAGUGAGACUAAUUUAUAAACCCAGGGGUCUCUGCUCCUUGUCUCCUAAGGUGGAGUAAGGAUUGGAGCCCAGCAUUAUGUGCAGCAGUUAGCAAAGGCUGUGUCACCUGUGUAUGUGACUGACUGUUUCCCAAUAUCCAGGUGGCUUUUUUGCCUCCAGUUGAACUGGUGUGAUACCUGGGUGGGCCUCCUCCUUCCCUUCCCUCUUCCCAUGCCCAUGGCAUUGGCUGGGAAGGUGCUCUGUCCACAGGGAUGUCCAGGAAGGUGGGCAUAGCUGACUCACAGGCACAGCUGCUCUGGCUCCUGUGACCAGCUGGUUCAUCCUUUUAUUAAGAUGUCAGCACCUCCUGUGUUUUUGCUGUUUGAUUCCUCUUGUUUCCCUGCUGCCUUGCUGCUGUCUCCAGAGCUGUGCCCAGAUGGUCCUGUUGUUCCUCCAGCCAUGACUGCUGGUUCUGGACUUGCACAGCCAUGCAGCAAGGCAGCUGACACCCUCUCUGCUCUUGCUUUUCCUUCUGGGCUUAUGGACAUGCUGGGGGUUGUGAAUCCAUGCCCUCAAAGCACGUUUUUGGGAAGUGUGCUUUAGAAAGCACUGGCUGGCUUUGCCUGAUAGAGGUGUGUCCCCCUCCCGUGCCACAAUGCCUGCUUUAUCCUGCCACUCAUUUGCAGCCCCUAAAGCUGUUGGAUCACACCAGGUGGGGUCCCUAAUGUGUCCAGGAGCAGUCCAGCUGGUGCAGGGUCCCAGAGGAGAAAAGGGUGGGAGAAGGCGGAGAGAAGCUUUGGUUCCAGAGACUCCCAGGUAUGAUUGUGACUCGGAUCUCCACACCUCCUCCUCCAGCCAGGGGACAUUUCUGGCUAUUUGUAACUUCUGGUUUUGAGGUUAAUACUCCAGCCCCUCCCCAGUGCAGCUUUUUGCAGGCUGUGAUUCUUUCUCAGAUUACUUUAAACUCCCUUUCCUUAAAAAGUAUGUGAGGAUGUUGGACUCAAUCUUUUACAAUCUGUUCCCAGGGAGCAAGGUUGCUCAUAGAGCUGGGGUGAAAUGGGCUGACUACUUCCAUGUGGGGCCAAAGAAACCCCAAACAUCUGCGAGGAUGAGAAGGAAGAUACAGAACAAAUCAGUUCUGAAAUGAGAUUUAGAACAAAACACAGUUUACCAGUUUUGCACUCAAGAAAAUGAUGCUUUGACUUUUUCUUUUCCCCAGAAGUUUUUCACUGAAGAUGCUGACCUGACUGUUGCCACUGGGACAGGAUGUAUCUAAUCCUCAGCUCUCAGAUGAGCUGGCUGCUGCCAGCAUGACACAGAGCUGUAGUUUGACCCCAAAUGGCAGCUCAGCACCAUCAUCCACUCACUCACUCCCCUCUGAUGGGGUGGGAGAGAGAAUGAGAAGGAGGAAAGUGAGAAAAACUGGCAGCUGAGAUAAAGACAGUUAGGGAAAGCAAAACUACAUGCACCAGCAAAGCAAAGCAAGCAAUCUGUUCCCCACCUGCCAUCGCAGGCACCCCCAGCACAGCAGAGCUGGGGUAUCCCUUGGGUCAGUGGGGGUCAGCUGUCCUGGCUGUGUCCCCUCCCAGCUCCUUGUGCACCCCCAGCUGCUCACUGGUGGGGUGAUUUGAGAAGCAGAAAAGGCCUUGGUUCUGUGUAAGCCAUGCUCAGCAAUAACAAAAACAUCUCUAUGUUAUCAGCCAUGUUUUCAGCACAAAUCCAAAGCACAGCCCCAUAGCAGCUACUGGGAAGAAAAUUAACUCCACCCCAGCCACAACCAGCACACAGAAUCCCAGCUCCUCAUCCUCUGUGGUGUUUGGUUUACAUGACUCUGAAAGGAAAACGCUCCCAAAACUCACACAAGGAAGAGCAAACUCGAGCUGUGCAGUACAGAGAAGGGCUCAGAUCCAUUUCUGGAUUGCAAGUAGCUGAUGUUCCUGUGGUGGAACCUCUUGCUGCAUCCAGGUAAUUGUCUCCCUGGACCCUGCACCCAACUAGUGAUUUUAGUGCCUCUGGUUUUGAAUCCUCUUUUCCUGUGGUGGUAAGCAGCAGCCACAAGGCUAAUGGGUGUAUUCAAGACUUGUUCUAGCAGUGUUAAGCUCAUUGCAGAAGCUCAGGAGCUGCCUUUUGGCUCCUGGGGGCAAAUGUGUGUGUGUGUGUGAGUGAAUGCAGCCCUGCAGGCACAGCUGAUACCUAAAGCAGUAAUUUCAAGGUUGCUGCAUAAACCCAGGAAUAGACUAAUACCUACCUGGAGGAGAGCAGAGGCAUUGGAACUUAAUUUAAACUCUUCCAACUCCCCUCCCUCCCAAUUCUAAGAUAAAUGGACAAAAACAUGCUCUGGAAGCUCUUGUGGAGCCCAGCCAGAGAUGAGCAGGAAGGAGCCAAAGGCAUUUCCACAGCUUGUCUUGCUGUGCUGGAGGCUUGGAGAGGUGUUUAUAAACACCUUUUCUGCUCACAGUGCUCUUGGCCCCUCUCUGGCUCAUGGCCAGGCAUGACCCUGGUCCAAGCUUGUUUUGAAGUGUUUCAUCCCCUGUGCUUUGC
rnacentral:lncRNA from 1 species